GAUGAACGCUGGCGGCGUGCCUAAUACAUGCAAGUCGAGCGAACAGACGAGGAGCUUGCUCCUCUGACGUUAGCGGCGGACGGGUGAGUAACACGUGGAUAACCUACCUAUAAGACUGGGAUAACUUCGGGAAACCGGAGCUAAUACCGGAUAAUAUAUUGAACCGCAUGGUUCAAUAGUUAAAGACGGUUUUGCUGUCACUUAUAGAUGGAUCCGCGCCGCAUUAGCUAGUUGGUAAGGUAACGGCUUACCAAGGCAACGAUGCGUAGCCGACCUGAGAGGGUGAUCGGACACACUGGAACUGAGACACGGUCCAGACUCCUACGGGAGGCAGCAGUAGGGAAUCUUGCGCAAUGGGCGAAAGCCUGACGGAGCAACGCCGCGUGAGUGAUGAAGGUCUUCGGAUCGUAAAACUCUGUUAUUAGGGAAGAACAAAUGUGUAAGAAACUAUGCACGUCUUGACGGUACCUAAUCAGAAAGCCACGGCUAACUACGUG
rnacentral:rRNA from 1 species